rnacentral:rRNA from 1 species
CGUAGGUGGCAAGCGUUGGGGUCCGGAAUUAUUGGGCGUAAAGCGCGCGCAGGCGGUUCCUUAAGUCUGAUGUGAAAGCCCCCGGCUCAACCGGGGAAGGUCAUUGGAAACUGGGGAACUUGAGUGCAGAAGAGAAGAGCGGAAUUCCACGUGUAGCGGUGAAAUGCGUAGAGAUGUGGAGGAACACCAGUGGCGAAGGCGGCUCUUUGGUCUGUAACUGACGCUGAGGCGCGAAAGCGUGGGGAGCAAACAGGAUUAGAUACCCUGGUAGUCCACGCCGUAAACGAUGAGUGCUAAGUGUUAGAGGGUUUCCGCCCUUUAGUGCUGCAGCUAACGCAUUAAGCACUCCGCCUGGGGAGUACGGCCGCAAGGCUG